CUUCAUUCCCUUUCACCCCGGAAGGUGUGAUUGUCUCGUGUCAUGGUGGCCACCGCAGUGUCCCUCCCAGCAAUCUCUCUUCUCCGUCAGGUGGGGUUCCCACCCCCGCUCAGCAUUCUCUCUGCAUGGAUGCUGAAGGACCAGGCCCACCUGAAGUUCUGAGCUUGAGCAGUAAGGUGGAAACAAAGAAACCAAUGGAAUCAAAGAAGCAAGUGAUUGUGAAAAGGAUAGCCAGCGUCUGGUCCCGGUACCAGGCAAGUGAUUGGAGUUUCUUUCCAGUUUGGGAACAUCUGGACAGGCCCAGAUUGAACAGGGUCCAGGGUGAAGGACCAAGCCUGUCCCAUCGGCCAUCCUGUGUGUCAUGUCCUGGGACCCACUGGAUGCUCAGCACGUAAGUGAACCGACAGGAGUGAGUGAAGAGAUGGGAGCAUCUCCUUAUUGUGGUGGAGGCU